rnacentral:rRNA from 1 species
GGCGUAAAGCGCGCGCAGGCGGUUUCUUAAGUCUGAUGUGAAAGCCCACGGCUCAACCGUGGAGGGUCAUUGGAAACUGGGAGACUUGAGUGCAGAAGAGGAGAGUGGAAUUCCACGUGUAGCGGUGAAAUGCGUAGAUAUGUGGAGGAACACCAGUGGCGAAGGCGACUCUCUGGACUGUAACUGACGCUGAGGCGCGAAAGCGUGGGGAGCGAACAGGAUUAGAUACCCUGGUAGUCCACGCCGUAAACGAUGAGUGCUAAGUGUUAGAGGGUUUCCGCCCUUUAGUGCUGCAGCUAACGCAUUAAGCACUCCGCCUGGGGAGUACGGCCGCAAGGCUGAAACUCAAAGGAAUUGACGGGGGCCCGCACAAGCGGUGGAGCAUGUGGUUUAAUUCGAAGCAACGCGAAGAACCUUACCAGGUCUUGACAUCCUUCGCUACCUCUAGAGAUAGAGGGUUCCCCUUCGGGGGACGAAGUGACAGGUGGUGCAUGGUUGUCGUCAGCUCGUGUCGUGAGAUGUUGGGUUAAGUCCCGCAACGAGCGCAACCCUUGACCUUAGUUGCCAGCAUUCAGUUGGGCACUCUAAGGUGACUGCCGGUGACAAACCGGAGGAAGGUGGGGAUGACGUCAAAUCAUCAUGCCCCUUAUGACCUGGGCUACACACGUGCUACAAUGGAUAGAACAAAGGGCAGCAAAGUCGCGAGGCUAAGCCAAUCCCAUAAAUCUAUUCUCAGUUCGGAUUGUAGGCUGCAACUCGCCUACAUGAAGCCGGAAUCGC